rnacentral:lncRNA from 1 species
AUGGAAAGGAAAGACAAACCACUUCAAGCAAAGGUUCUGCUGAGACUGUGCAAAGGGUCAGGUUGCUUUGGAGGCAGGAGGAAAACAACUGCUCCUUCCUUCCUCUUGGAAGUGAUUUUGCCUUGGCCUAGCCUUUGUAAAAUGGAAUUAGAAAGUCCUGCUGAGUUUUGGGAGCUGGCGGGAGCUAUCACCCGGCUAAUUCAUCAUAACAGGAGCCCAGUAUCUAAUAAGCAGCUGAGGAGCUUGAAGAGUAAUGAAAUGAGAUUUCUUCAAAGAACAAAUGAAAGAGAGAAGAAGACUGCCUGAACCAAAAGCCUAGUGAGAAGAGGGCGUUGUCAAGGGCUUGCUUUCAGGGCAAGGGAAGGACAGAGCUCCUCUGGGAUGAGGAGAGACAAGAAGAGACAGCUGGAGGUAUGGCUGGAGGCUCAUCACACAUGCUUUUGCUCCAGCCAGGGGGUAACUCUUUCCUUCAGCAUCUGUUGAGGCUAUAGGAUAGUGGUGGAAUGUCCUGAGGGGGUCAGGGCAGCCUUACUGUGAAUGUGAAGAGCUGUUAGGUUUUCCUAAGGUACAGCCUUCCCCUUAAUGGCUCUUGGUGGGGGUAAAGUAUCCUGAGUGCACUGGAGGCUGCUGUUCCUGCAGGCUGGGUGGUGCUUUGGCCAUCAAACAUCUUAGCUUGUUUUGCAAUGCUCUAUUCUCUGUGUACCCCAUGUGGGAAAAUUGCUCAGGAAACCUUACAGAUGGGUCUGGAGGGCCAGGCUAACCACGAAUGUCUUAAUCACGGCAGGACUGCUCUCUCCUUUCAGCAUGGCUGCAGGGAUGGACAGCUAUAGGAGGGGUGACUUUUCUUCUGGGCCCUCUGUGGAAGGAAAGAAGACACAAGUUUGGUCAGCAAGAAGGAGGGAUAGCAUCCCAAAGCCAGUUGAAAUGCAGUACUCUUCUCUACCCUUGGACGCCCGAGUGGGAGGGAGAAGCCAGUGGGACCAGGCACUCUUUGCAGAAAGGUCCUGCUGGCUCAUGGCUCCAGGUUUGCUGAGAUCUUGUCAUUUUUCUCCACGCCAUGUUGGGGCUUGCUAGGACUUCUGUUGGUUUUAAUAUGCUGCUUUGAAAUAACACAACACAAACUGCUCUCAAACUCAUUUAUUAUUUUCUAUAAAGCCCCCCCGUGUUUUCUGUUUUUGUUUUUGUUUUUUUUUUAAGAUGCUGUCAAAUUGCACUUCUUAAGAUUCAUGGUGGAUCUCCUCCGCCUGACUCUAUUACCCAAU